AGAGUUUGAUCCUGGCUCAGAUUGAACGCUGGCGGAAUGCUUUACACAUGCAAGUCGAGCGGCAGCGCGGGGGCAACCCUGGCGGCGAGCGGCGAACGGGUGAGUAAUGUAUCGGAACGUACCCAGUCGUGGGGGAUAACUAUCCGAAAGGAUAGCUAAUACCGCAUACGUCCUGAGGGAGAAAGCGGGGGACCGUAAGGCCUCGCGCGAUUGGAGCGGCCGAUAUCGGAUUAGCUAGUUGGUGAGGUAAAGGCUCACCAAGGCGACGAUCCGUAGCUGGUCUGAGAGGACGACCAGCCACACUGGAACUGAGACACGGUCCAGACUCCUACGGGAGGCAGCAGUGGGGAAUUUUGGACAAUGGGGGCAACCCUGAUCCAGCCAUUCCGCGUGAGUGAAGAAGGCCUUCGGGUUGUAAAGCUCUUUCAGCAGGAACGAAAC
rnacentral:rRNA from 1 species